GAUGAACGCUGGCGGCGUGCCUAAUACAUGCAAGUCGAGCGAACGGACGAGAAGCUUGCUUCUCUGAUGUUAGCGGCGGACGGGUGAGUAACACGUGGAUACCCUACCUAUAAGACUGGGAUAACUUCGGGAAACCGGAGCUAAUACCGGAUAAUAUUUUGAACCGCAUGGUUCAAAAAUGAAAGACGGUCUUGCUGUCACUUAUAGAUGGAUCCGCGCUGCAUUAGCUAGUUGGUAAGGUAACGGCUUACCAAGGCAACGAUGCAUAGCCGACCUGAGAGGGUGAUCGGCCACACUGGAACUGAGACACGGUCCAGACUCCUACGGGAGGCAGCAGUAGGGAAUCUUCCGCAAUGGGCGAAAGCCUGACGGAGCAACGCCGCGUGAGUGAUGAAGGUCUUCGGAUCGUAAAACUCUGUUAUUAGGGAAGAACAUAUGUGUAAGUAACUGUGCACAUCUUGACGGUACCUAAUCAGAAAGCCACGGCUAACUACGUG
rnacentral:rRNA from 1 species